UACGUAGGGGGCUAGCGUUGUCCGGAAUCAUUGGGCGUAAAGCGCGUGUAGGCGGCUCGGUAAGUCUGUUCUGAAAGUCCAGGGCUCAACCCUGGGAUGCGGAUGGAUACUGCCGAGCUCGAGUCCGGAAGAGGCGAGUGGAAUUUCUGGUGUAGCGGUGAAAUGCGCAGAUAUCAGGAGGAACACCAAUGGCGAAGGCAGCUCGCUGGGACGUGACUGACGCUGAGACGCGAAAGCGUGGGGAGCAAACAGG
rnacentral:rRNA from 1 species